rnacentral:rRNA from 1 species
GUUUUCCACGCCUAACAAAGAAAGCUCUGCUUCAUCUCCAUGUAGUAGGUGUUUCAUUUCCUCCUUGUAGUACUAGGCUGGAUCGCAACAUUGCAUCUUCAUCUACAACACUCCUACCUAACUUUGUCUGCAGUAGCACCAGGUGGCGGUUUUUGUGCUCGUAAAGGGGUUCCGUUCAUCCCACCGACACGGUUUUUUUUCCGGAGGGAAAACCGACACGGUUUCUUCACUGGUAGUGUAUGCGAAGGGGAAAAAGAAGUACCGGAAAAAUGGGUGCAGCCGUCCCAAACCGUUGACCCGUCGCAUCCCCCGGGGUGGGGUGGUGCGUCGGUGCUAAGAAACCAACCAGCCACCAAUUCUCCAAUAGAAAACCAUCCAUCUCCACUUCCAUUCGCAUCCUCCUCCUCACUUCCCCAGAUCCAAAUCGCGCGCGAGAGAGCAAAGGGAGGAAGAAAGAGAUCUCGCCGAGCGCCACCCCGAAUCCGCCAUGGCCUCGGCAGCGCCGCCCCUCCUCCCCACCACCGUCCCGGCCGCCGCGCCCGCCACCGUCCUCCCCGCCGCCCCGGACGCCGCCGCCACCUCCAUCGCCUCCCCGGACCCGGCCGCCACGCGCGCCUUCCUGGGCCGCCUCUACGACUCCGCCAAGCGCUCCCUCUCGGGCGCCCGCCCCUGGCCCGAGCUCCUGGACCGCGCCGCGCUCUCGCGCCCGGACUCCCUCUCCGACGCCACCGCCCGCCUCCGCAAGAACCUCGCCUACUUCCGCGUCAACUACGCCGCGCUCGUCGCGCUCUCCCUCGCCGUCUCCCUCCUCGCGCACCCCUUCUCCCUCGCCGCCCUCCUCGCGCUCCUCGCUGCCUGGUGCUUCCUCUACCUCCUCCGCCCCGCCGACGCCGCCCCGCUCAACGCCUUCGGCCGCACCUUCUCCGACAGGGAGACGCUCGGGGGCCUCAUCGCCGCCUCCGUCUUUGUCGUCUUCCUCACGUCUGUCGGUGGGAUCAUCUUCUCCGCGCUGGCGCUCGGCGCCGCCGUCGUCUGCGCGCACGGGGCCUUCCGCGUCCCCGAGGACCUCUUCCUCGACGAGGUACCCGACCAGGGCAUCGUAGGAAACGCCGCCACCCUCAACCUCCUCUCCUUCAUCAACGGCGCUGCCGGAGGAGGAGGACGCGUCUGAGCCAGCCUCCUGUCCUCAGCUCUCUGAUCUGCUACUCGGAAGAGACAAGUAAAGUCUGGCUGGUUGAUUCGUUUUUUCAGAAACGAAAUACUUCUACUUGUUUAAGAUCAUACUACGCGUUGCCUUUAGGAGCGUGAGGAGGAGAUUUAGAAGAGGAUGCAUUGGAGUUAUACUACAAACAGAGGAUAUACACAUAAAAAGGAACCUUGGGAUCUAGUUUUGUUUCAUUUUGCAUUUGAUAUUGCUGUAUGAUGACAAAGUUGAGCUUAUUAGUAUUGAUAUUCAUAUGAUAUGUAUCUCCUUGUUACUAGCAUACAGAACAAAAUAAAUUGCUGCUCCUCGUCUUAGCAUGAAAUGAAAUAUAUGAUGGUUAAUUACACCAUUUCUUUUCAAGAGAUUGAUCAAUGUGGUUUCACGUAUGAUCUUGAUUCUGGC